ACACCAGCAAUCUGCGGAUCAUCCGGGCCUAUCAGAGUGAAGGAAGGACAUGGAGACAUCCUCAGCUCCCUGGGGGAAUGGGCGAGUACUCACAGGGAGGCCCAAAGCCCUCUGUGCUCACAGGGAGGGGCAGAGCACCGAUCGACCGGACAAGCAAUAUACUGCAUCCAGCUGCCAGCAUUGUGGAGGUUCGGACUGUCCCCUGCUCUUUGUGCCAUGGCAGCUGUCCAUACUGGCCAACCACUUCAACGAGUCUAUCAGUGUGCUGUGAUGCCAGUCCUGCUACACUGAUGGACUGGAGAGGUGCCAGUCCUGUACCAAAUGACACUAACCACUGGCUGUGUGUGCCAAUGGCAAGCUGUCCUAUCAUCCCCACAUUGAGAGAAAACUGCUUUUUAUCUCCCAUGUUAAGGUAAUUGAUGCUUUCAUUUUCACUAAGCUUAAUAAUGAGAGAGCGGGAGAAACUGACGGUAAUAAAUGGUGAUGGAGAGGCUUUUGGUCAGCUCUGGAGGUAGAAAGAAAUUAAUUUGUUUAUUGUCGUCCUAAUUCUGAGGUAAUUGCUUCCAGAGUUGUCUUGGGUGAAAAUGUAUAGAAUG
ensembl:lncRNA